CUUGAAAGCUGGCGGCAGGCUUAACACAUGCAAGUCGAACGAGUGGCGGACGGGAGAGUAAUGCUUGGGAAUCUCGCUUAUGGAGGGGGAUAACUACGGGAAACUGUAGCUAAUACCGCGUACCAUCGGAUGAGCCCAUAUGGGAUUAGCUUGUAGGUGGGGUAACGGCUCACCUAGGCGACGAUCCCUAGCUGGUCUGAGAGGAUGAUCAGCAACACUGUGACUGAGACACGGCACAGACUCCUACGGGAGGCAGCAGUGGGGAAUAUUGCACAAUUGGUGCAAGCCUGAUGCAGCCAUGCCGCGUGUAUGAAGAAUGCCUUCGGGUUGUAAAGUACGUUCAGUCGGGAGGCGUUACCGACAGAAGAAGCACCGGCUAACUCCGUGCCAGCACCGCGGUAAUUC
rnacentral:rRNA from 1 species